GUGUCAAUGCCAUUUUCUUGCUUGUUUCAGGGAUAUCAUUGCUAUUUGGAGCAAAGCAAGCAGGACGGACAACAGUGAGGAAGUCCCAAAUUCUCACGGUGGCUCCACACAAACUACAAUCCAAUAAAGGCGACCUAGAUUCACCUUUAGACCUGGGACCCACAGCUUCGUUCUUACUAUGAACUUUUUUCUUUGAAGAAGGCAAUACAUUUUCUCCAUGGCCAAAAUCUUGCAGAGAAGUGUGAUAUUUUGUGGGACCAAUGGAGUAUCCACUCCUAGCUGAUUGAGCAGAAUGUUCUUCGCAGUCUUGGACAUUUGGAAGCCAUCUUGGCUCCCAUCCGCACAGGCUUAUCAACUUAUUAGCACGAGAGUAUACAAGGAAGACAUCUUCUGUGUUGGUUUCAGUUCCUGACAUAAUCUCUAACCUAAAGAUAGGUUCCAUCCCACCAAAAGCCUGUGACUGAGCUAGAAGGCGAUCAAUUUCUGGACUUCGAGAGACUUUGAUGUGCUCAAUUGCAGAUGCAGCCACUAUUGGAAGUGAAGGAAACUGAAGCAAUCCAUCACAUCGAUCCUUAUAACCACCAAUUAAGGCUGAUGGUGGUGUAGGAGGGAACUGGACCAAGCUUUCUGCACAGCUGUUUCCUCGCCAAGGGCAAGUGGCCUUGUGCCCUUCAUCAAGUUUCUUUGCAAAUUCUUCCCCCGCGAUAUCAGCUUCACCAGAGGUCCAUGUUGCAGAAGAAACGAAUCUCAGAUUAGCACCACAAGCUUCACACUCAAUCGUAUCAGCAUCCACAUUCACCCAGCCUCUUCUAGCACAAGCCAGUGAGCUUGAAGCCUUUGGCUUCCCAAACCAGUUUGUGGGUUGGAAAGUGGACAGACGCCUCAAUAGAUCACCCCUUUCCCAUGGUCUACAUGAAGGUUGUGAUGAUCCUAGUGCAGAACCACCAGCACUAUUGCUAACUGAAGUCCACAUGGGCUGUGAACCAAUACGGGAAAGUGAAGCUGCUUUUGAACCCUGUGCUUGUGCAAACCAAUCUGUGCCCCCAGCAUUUGUUGGAACUGCUGGAGAUGAUGCCCCUACGGAACUAGCAGCAGGUGUAGGGAUAGGGGGAGGAGACGAUGAUUUGGGCGGCAAUUGAGGAUCAUGGGAAGAGCUUAUAGCUUCUUCCUUCAUGAUUUUUCACCUUCUACUGUGUGAAAAUGCGUGUAUAAUGGUGUGGGUUUUCUCUCUUUCGGUGAUGGUGUUGAGAGCUAUAC
rnacentral:misc_RNA from 1 species